rnacentral:rRNA from 1 species
UACGAAGGGGGCUAGCGUUGCUCGGAAUCACUGGGCGUAAAGCGCACGUAGGCGGACUCUUAAGUCGGUGGUGAAAUCCUGGAGCUCAACUCCAGAACUGCCUUCGAUACUGAGAGUCUUGAGUCCGGGAGAGGUGAGUGGAACUGCGAGUGUAGAGGUGAAAUUCGUAGAUAUUCGCAAGAACACCAGUGGCGAAGGCGGCUCACUGGCCCGGUACUGACGCUGAGGUGCGAAAGCGCGGGGAGCAAACAGG